AUACGUAGGGGGCGAGCGUUGUCCGGAAUGAUUGGGCGUAAAGGGCGCGUAGGCGGCGCGGUAAGUCUGGAGUGAAAGUCCUGCUUUCAAGGUGGGAAUUGCUUUGGAUACUGCCGCGCUUGAGUGCAGGAGAGGUUAUCGGAAUUCCCGGUGUAGCGGUGAAAUGCGUAGAGAUCGGGAGGGACACCAGUGGCGAAGGCGGGUAACUGGACUGCAACUGACGCUGAGGCGCGAAAGUGUGGGGAGCAAACAGGAUUAGAUACCCUGGUAGUCCACACUGUAAACGAUGAAUGCUAGGUGUAAGAGGUAUCGACCCCUUUUGUGCCGGAGUCAACACAAUAAGCAUUCCGCCUGGGGAGUACGGCCGCAAGGUUGAAACUCAAAUGAAUUGGCGGGG
rnacentral:rRNA from 1 species